rnacentral:misc_RNA from 1 species
UAGGCUUGACAUGCACGGAAAUCUCGCAGAGAUGCGGGGUCCGUAAGGGCCGUGCACAGGUGGUGCAUGGUUGUCGUCAGCUCGUGUCGUGAGAUGUUGGGUUAAGUCCCGCAACGAGCGCAACCCUCGUUCCAUGUUGCCAGCACGUGAUGGUGGGGACUCAUGGGAGACUGCCGGGGUCAACUCGGAGGAAGGUGGGGAUGACGUACCAAGGUUGGUU